UUUUAAAACAAUUUUGCUAUAGAAUUUUUCUAGAGAAACAUAUCACGUCCCGGUCAAUAUAUGCUAUAAUCUACAUAGAGACGACUGCAAAGUGCGAGAGGACUUUGAACGUAGUCACGUAGACGACCCAGUCAUAGAAGUUUGUCCUUCUCCGUAGCCAGAAAUCGCGCAAAUCUACACAUAAGUCAAUAUUUUACAGAUGCCAGCCGGCAAAUUAGGCCAGAAAUCUUGAAGUGGCAAUCAACACCAAGGAAACGCACCCCACUGUUGCUGAGGAAAAUAUACUAAUAUACUACUUUUUUUUUGUGGGAAAAGAGAGGUAUAUUACUCAGCUAUAGAGUCAGUACCAACAAGGUGAGAUACGAAAUUACAAGAAUCAUCUGGCCAGAAGGGUUCAGAUCCCCUGAAGCUGGGGCCAACUCCACCGAGUGGAUUUGGCCGAAUCUGAGCCGUUCUUUUACUUCUACGGCUGGGAUCAUGGCACAUACCUUUCUUCUAAUUAACUAUCUUUAUCAUAUAGAUUUGAAGGAAAAAAAAUACUUGGUAUUCUAGCUAACCGUAACUGUGAUUAUUCUCCAGCCAACACAAUCAACAAAUCAGGCAUCAUCUAAAGAAUAUUGAACUUCAAACGUGAUGCUUCAUUUGUUUUGAGACAACAUCAAAUAUUCUACUCUUGACAUUACUUUUGCUGAUAAAAUCUGUUGUUUCAGGCAGCAAGAAAACUGGCAGGAGAACCAUAUUAAUAGGUAUGUCAAAAACAUUUACCACAAUACCAUUGAAUCAUAAACCAUAAUAACAAAAUAAAAACUUAAGGAAAUAAUAUCCUUAAUAGGAAAAGCCAAUGAUAUCGCAAAAUAAAUGGUCGUAGUAUACCAUUAUGAUUUUGUAAAAGGAAAUAACAUGUGUUUUAAUCUCAGUUUUGACAGCAGCAGCUGCAGGCUUGCUCUUGCCAUGUAUAUAUGUGCUAAUAUGGCAUGGGAAGGGGAAACAACUACGGUAUUUCCUUUACACAAAGACUAGCAGCACCAGUGAAAGGAACAUUGAGGCCCUCAUAAUAUCUUAUGGAUCAAUAGCUCCAACAAGAUACAAGUAUUCAGAAGUAACAAAGAUAACAUCAUUUCUUAAUUAUAAGCUUGGAGAAGGAGGUUAUGGUGUUGUAUUCAAAGGAAGGUUACAAGAUGGUCGUCUGGUUGCGGUGAAAUUCUUACAUGACUCAAAAGGAAAUGGAGAGGAAUUUGUGAAUGAGGUUAUGAGCAUUGGCAGGACCUCUCAUAUUAAUAUUGUUAGCUUAUUUGGGUUUUGUUUGGAGGGGUCAAAACGAGCUCUUCUUUACGAGUACAUGCCCAAUGGUUCACUAGACGAUUAUAUCUAUUCAGAAAAUCCCAAAGAAAUUCUAGGGUGGGAAAAACUUUACGGAAUCGCAAUCGGGAUUGCUCGUGGGCUAGAAUACUUGCACCAUAGUUGUAACACACGAAUCAUCCAUUUCGAUAUAAAGCCUCAGAAUAUCCUUCUAGACCAGGAUUUUUGCCCAAAGAUUGCUGAUUUUGGUUUAGCCAAACUGUGCCGCACCAAGGAGAGCAAGCUUUCAAUGACAGGUGCUAGAGGAACAAUUGGAUUUAUCGCUCCUGAAGUGAUCUAUCGAUCCUUUGGAAUUGUUUCAACAAAGUCAGAUGUUUAUAGUUACGGAAUGAUGUUGCUAGAGAUGGUCGGAGGCCGGAAGAAUGCUAAGUCAAUGGUUGAAAAUUCAAGUGAAAAGUAUUUUCCAGAUUGGAUUUAUGACCACUUUGCUCUGGAUGAUGGAUUACAAGCUUGUGAAGUCACAAGUGAGGUUGAGCAAAUAGCCAAAAAGAUGACUUUAAUUGGUUUGUGGUGUGUACAAGUAUUGCCUAUGCAUCGGCCGACAAUAACCCAGGUUUUAGAUAUGUUCGAGAGAAGUUUGGAUGAACUGGAAAUGCCACCAAAACAAAAUUUCAGUGAAUUACUGUAAGAUACUUUCUCUACACAUUAUGAUUUGGACUGGUAAUAUUUUCAGUGAAUUUCAUCUAUGCUAUUUCUGUUUUUCAGAGAACAUCCAGCUCAGGAGAUUAACACAGAAAGUACGAGUUCUACUAUAAAUACCAAAGCUGCACAAGCUCUAAGUGAAGUGCUAAGGGUUGAGGAGACAAGCCUCGUUAAUUCAAAGGAUCCUACAGUGACUACCAACUAUGCAAAAAGAUGAUCUGCAGUCAAAUUUUGGCAUAGUAUCAUCACACAUUCAUGGGUCAUGGCAUUGACUAGUGUGUUUAAGGUAGCUGAAUCGAAGAUAUUUCUGAAUUCUGUCCAUCCCCCUAACUUGUUUCAUAAUUUAAUUCAACAAUUUGAUCUACCAGAAGCUACGAUUUACGAUUCCGUGCCAAUAAUUAUCACAUUUUCCCACUUCCCUAGUUUGAUCUAUGGGCUCAAAAACUAGCAUCAUCAUAGUGCCAAAAUUUUCACGGAAAAGUAGUACGCAAAAGAGCAAAGAGCAAGUUACUUACUGGAUUCCUCCACGGUUCCUCUGAAGAAACGAAGAAGCAGCGGGCACCUCUACUCAGCCUUCGAACUUUUGAUGAGUUCAUCUGCUCGAUCUAUGCCUCGCCCAACGCAGAAAGUACAGGACAGGAUGCCCAUCUCCCCGGCUCCCCGUUGCUUGUGUUUGUAAUCCAUCCCCAAUCCGCCGCCCUAACCAGUCACCACCGCCACCAACGCAGCGGAGGAGAACACUAGCGUUGUUCGGCGACUCCCUCAAUGCCUACGGCCGAGCAGCUGGCGUUUACUGCUGCGGCUCACGAAGCGAGACGGCAGCGGCCGCAAUCCUGCACGGUUGCACCGCCGCCGACGGCGACGCCGCGGCGGCGCCGGGGAGAAGGGAACAACCGAACAAGGGCUGCACGGAC
rnacentral:lncRNA from 1 species